UAUUCUGCCCCAUGGGGAAGGAUGAGAAGCUUCGACUAAGGUUCGACUCGAGUGAAGCGAGAGAACGUUGCCGCAGGCAACGGCCCGAAGGGCGAGGCGCUUUAGCGCCGAGUAAUCCUUCCCCCACCACCA
rnacentral:sRNA from 1 species